UUAUCAAUCUGUGUCGCAGUUUGUUUUUCUCCAUCUAAAGCCCAGAGCCGUGCAGAGACCAGAGUCUGAAGUACUCAGUAUGUCUGACUCAGUGAGGAACCACAGGCUCAACCCGACCUUCUCCCACCUGAAGAUAGAUGGCGCUAAAGCAGCAGAUGAUGAUAAUGAGUCAGGAUUCUUAUCUGUCAGUCAUAACAGAUCGUUCAGUCCAUCUUAUCCAUUCGGCGGCCGCUGUCAGUCAUUUGAGCUAAGAAAUGAUUUCCAAAACAUGUACCGUGAUGACGACCAAUCGACAUGUCCAUCUCGUGAAUCCACCUGCAGUACUCAGUCACAUACCAAAUAAUUAAUUUCCAAAACUGGGGUUUGCUAGGGCAACUUCUGCAGGAAGUGAUGGGCAUCGUUUUUCGGCCCUUCUCCCACCUGAUUGGAUGGAGGAGAUGAAGAAGAAAGAGGAGGAUGAAGAGGAAGAGGAUGAAGAGGAGACUAAAUCAGUGAUCUAAAAGUCUGAACUUUGUGUCUGGACUUUGGGCUGACUGGUUGUUUGAAAACCAUGUUGAGUAUAAUGAUCUGUAGCUCUUUUUGUGACAGCUUGAUUUGGAUACUUAUGGAUAAAACAAAUGUAAAUGAUAAGAUUUGUUAGUGACAUAAGAUGAUGAAGUCAACUCAGCCU